AUUGAACGCUGGCGGCAUGCUUUACACAUGCAAGUCGAACGGCAGCGCGGGCUUCGGCCUGGCGGCGAGUGGCGCACGGGUGAGUAAUGCAUGGGAACGUGCCCAGUAGUGUGGGAUAGCCCGGCGAAAGCCGGAUUAAUACCGCAUACGACCUGAGGGUGAAAGCGGGGGACCGAAAGGCCUCGCGCUAUUGGAGCGGCCGAGGUCGGGUUAGCUAGUUGGUGGGUUAAAGGCUUACCAAGGCGACGAUCCGCAGCUGGUGUGAGAGGACGACCGGCCACACUGGGACUGAGACACGGCCCAGACUCCUACGGGAGGGAGCAGUGGGGAAUUUUGGACAAUGGGGGCAACCCUGAUCCAGACAUGCCGCGUGCGGGAAGAAGGCCUUCGGGUUGUAAACCUCUUUUGUUCGGGACGAAAUCCUCUGGGCUAAUACCCCGGGGGGAUGACGGUACCGGAAGAAUAAGCACCGGCUAACUACGUG
rnacentral:rRNA from 1 species